rnacentral:rRNA from 1 species
ACGUACACUCCUACGGGAGGCAGCAGUGGGGAAUAUUGCACAAUGGGCGCAAGCCUGAUGCAGCCAUGCCGCGUGUAUGAAGAAGGCCUUCGGGUUGUAAAGUACUUUCAGCGGGGAGGAAGGCGAUAAGGUUAAUAACCUUGUUGAUUGACGUUACCCGCAGAAGAAGCACCGGCUAACUCCGUGCCAGCAGCCGCGGUAAUACGGAGGGUGCAAGCGUUAAUCGGAAUUACUGGGCGUAAAGCGCACGCAGGCGGUCUGUCAAGUCGGAUGUGAAAUCCCCGGGCUCAACCUGGGAACUGCAUUCGAAACUGGCAGGCUAGAGUCUUGUAGAGGGGGGUAGAAUUCCAGGUGUAGCGGUGAAAUGCGUAGAGAUCUGGAGGAAUACCGGUGGCGAAGGCGGCCCCCUGGACAAAGACUGACGCUCAGGUGCGAAAGCGUGGGGAGCAAACAGGAUUAGAAACCCGUGUAGUCCCAUG